rnacentral:antisense_RNA from 1 species
UUGAGAUCCUUUCUGUAGCGUCGUAAUCUCUUGCUCAGUAAACGAAAAAACCGCCCAGCAAGGCGGUUUUUCGAAGGUUCUCAGAGCUGCAACUCUUUGAACCGUGGUAACUGGCUUAUGAGGAGCGCAGUAACCAAAUCUGUUCUUUCAGUUUAGCCUUAACAGGCGCAUAACUUCAAGACUAACUCCUCUAAAUCAGUUACCAGUGGCUGCUGCCAGUGGCGCUUUGUCGUGUCUUUCCGGCUUGGACUCAAGUCGAUAGUUACCGGAGAAGACGCAGCGGUCGGACUGAACGGGGGGUUCGUGCAUACAGUCCAGCUUGGAGCGAACUGCCUACCCGGAACUGAGUGUCAGGCGUGGAAUGAGAUAAACGCGGCCAUAACAGCGGAAUGACACCGGUAAACCGAAAGGCAGGAACAGGAGAGCGCACGAGGGAGCCACCAGGGGGAAACGCCUGGUAUCUUUAAGUCCUGUCGGGUUUCGCCACCACUGAUUUGAGCGUCAGAUUCUGUGAUGCUUGUCAGGGGGGCGGAGCCUAUGGAAAA